rnacentral:lncRNA from 13 species
AAAGAAAAGGGCGCCCUUCCUCCAGCGAAUGGGGCCGACAGCCCUGCAGGCCCCGCGGCCAGAGCGGAGAGCAGACACAGUCCGGAUGGAAAUGAAGCCCGCGCCUUUGCUGACGGCACCUCCAGCAAGGGCUCCUCUCUCCCCAUCUAUAAAGGGCUGGACGAGACCUGCCCCGCCAGGGGGCCGUGUGCAGGAAAUGCACAGGUGUACGCGGGACGCCCCGCACGGAGCAGGCCUCCGAGGCGCUGGGAGCUGUCAUCCGCCCGGCUGGGAGAAGGGCGCUGGGGCUCCUCUGCGAGGCGGCCCUCGGGGGUCCAGGACGAGCUGCUUUCCUCCGGCAGACGCCGCGUCCACGCUGGGUUCUUGCUUCCGAAACCCACCCUGCUUUCGCUAGGGGCAGCCCCGUCUUCAGCGAAAACUACACCUCCCAGCCUGCCUUGCAGCCGCGCGCCUGGCCCCAGGGAUGCGCCGGGGGCGCCCGGGGACUUUCUGGAAGCUCUCGUCCUGCCUGGAGAGCAGGGGCGACGCCCUGGUCGCGCGGCCUCGCGGUGUGAUGGCUGCAGGCACAGCGGCCGCGCACCCGGGGCAGGGGGCUGCACGGAGAGCGAGCGCCCCCCGAUUGCGCAGUCCCUGCGCUUUCGUUGUGCGCCGAGGCCACCGUGGCCAGGGCUCUGCAGCGGACAGCUCCGGUCCUGGCAACUCCUCCCGCGCUGCGCAGGAACCCCCACUCCCACUGCGGGGUGCGCGCUGGCGACCCCCGCACCCGAGCACCCAGGGCACAGCCUCCCAGGGGCAACAGCGCACUCACCGCCCACCGGCUCUGCUGGUCUCUGUGCGCACUUGCCACUGGCGCGGCAGGCCGGAAGUCCUCCUGGAAGGGUCCUCCUGCAGACUGGAGGGAGCUGCGGCACAAACAGCCGGCUCUCUCGCCAUCGCGUGGUGACUCUCAGAUGCACGCGCUGCGCUGGCUUCAGGCUGGCUUCAGGCUUUCCCGGAGUGUAG